rnacentral:rRNA from 1 species
CACGUAGGGCGCGAGCGUUGUCCGGAAUCAUUGGGCGUAAAGAGCUCGUAGGCGGUCUGUGCGUCCGCUGUCGGAAAACCUCGGGGGCUUAACCCCGAGCUGCAGGUGGAUACGGGCAGACUAGAGGUGAGGUAGGGGAGAAUGGAAUUCCCGGUGUAGCGGUAGAAAUGCGCAGAUAGUCGGGAGGAACACCGGGUGGCGAAGGCGGUUCUCUGGGCCGUUACCUGACGCUGAGGAGCGAAAGCGUGGGGAGCGAACAGG